rnacentral:rRNA from 1 species
AGUGAACGCUGGCGGUAGGCCUAACACAUGCAAGUCGAACGGCAGCACAGAGGAGCUUGCUCCUUGGGUGGCGAGUGGCGGACGGGUGAGGAAUACAUCGGAAUCUACUCUGUCGUGGGGGAUAACGUAGGGAAACUUACGCUAAUACCGCAUACGACCUACGGGUGAAAGCAGGGGAUCUUCGGACCUUGCGCGAUUGAAUGAGCCGAUGUCGGAUGAGCUAGUUGGCGGGGUAAAGGCCCACCAAGGCGACGAUCCGUAGCUGGUCUGAGAGGAUGCUCAGCCACACUGGAACUGAGGCACGGUCCAGACUCCUACGGGAGGCAGCAGUGGGGAAUAUUGGACAAUGGGCGCAAGCCUGAUCCAGCCAUGCCGCGUGAGUGAAGAAGGCCUUCGGGUUGUAAAGCUCUUUUGUCCGGAAAGAAAAGCCUUCGGUUAAUACCCGGGGGUGAUGACGGUACCGGAAGAAUAAGCACCGGCUAACUUCGUGCCAGCCGCCGCAGUAA